AAAUGCGAUAAGUAAUGUGAAUUGCAGAAUUCAGUGAAUCAUCGAAUCUUUGAACGCACCUUGCGCUCCUUGGUAUUCCUUGGAGCAUGCCUGUUUGAGUAUCAUGAAAUCUUCAAAGUAAAUCUUUUGUUAACUCAAUUGGUUUCUACUUUGGUAUUGGAGGUCUUUGCAGCUUCACACCUGCUCCUCUUUGUUCAUUAGCUGGAUCUCAGUGUUAUGCUUGGUUCCACUCGGCGUGAUAAGUUAUCUAUCGCUGAGGACACUGUAAAAGGUGGCCAAGGUAAAUGCAGAUGAACCGCUUCUAAUAGUCCAUUGACUUGGACAAUACUUUUAUGAUCUGAUCUCAAAUCAGGUAGGACUAACCGCUGAACUUAAGC
rnacentral:misc_RNA from 1 species